GCAUGUGCCACCACACCCGUCUAAUUUUGUACUUUUGUAGCAGGAGCGGCCGCUGGAAACGGAUCUCGAACACUGAAUAAAGGAGGGAGGAGAUUAUUCGGCGGGGAGACCAAGCAGUAAUUUGUCGAAAACCCAGCUCCUCUAGCAAAGGAAGGUUCUACCUUUAUAUAGGCUUAUACUUGAGAUGUUACACGUGGAAGAAUCUUAGGUUCAUAGUUUUAGGACUCACAUGUGAAAAGGGUUUGGUUUACAGUUUCAGGAAUCACAUAUGAAAGGGUUCCAGGUUACAGUUUUAGGACUAACAUGUGAAAAGGACUCUCUUUACAAUG